UACGGAGGAUGCAAGCGUUAUCCGGAAUGAUUGGGCGUAAAGCGUCCGCAGGUGGCAAUGUAAGUCUGCUGUUAAAGAGUCUAGCUCAACUAGAUAAAAGCAGUGGAAACUACAUAGCUAGAGUACGUUCGGGGCAGAGGGAAUUCCUGGUGUAGCGGUGAAAUGCGUAGAGAACAGGAAGAACACCGGUGGCGAAGGCGCUCUGCUAGGCCGUAACUGACACUGAGGGACGAAAGCUAGGGGAGCGAAUGGG
rnacentral:rRNA from 1 species